rnacentral:misc_RNA from 1 species
GUUUCACUGUGCCGUACUGGC